CCGGCGCACGGGUGAGUAACACGUAUCCAACCUGCCGUCUACUCUUGGCCAGCCUUCUGAAGGAAGAUUAAUCCAGGAUGGGAUCAUGAGUUCACAUGUCCGCAUGAUUAAAGGUAUUUUCCGGUAGACGAUGGGGAUGCGUUCCAUUAGAUAGUAGGCGGGGUAACGGCCCACCUAGUCAACGAUGGAUAGGGGUUCUGAGAGGAAGGUCCCCCACAUUGGAACUGAGACACGGUCCAA
rnacentral:rRNA from 1 species